CGCGGCCUAUCAGCUUGUUGGUGGGGUAGUGGCUUACCAAGGCUUUGACGGGUAGCCGGCCUGAGAGGGUGACCGGCCACAUUGGGACUGAGAUACGGCCCAGACUCCUACGGGAGGCAGCAGUGGGGAAUAUUGCACAAUGGGCGGAAGCCUGAUGCAGCAACGCCGCGUGCGGGAUGACGGCCUUCGGGUUGUAAACCGCUUUCGCCUGUGGCGAAGCGUGAGUGACGGUAAUGGGUAAAGAAGCACCGGCUAACUACGUGCCAGCAGCCGCGGUGAUACGUAGGGUGCGAGCGUUGUCCGGAUUUAUUGGGCGUAAAGGGCUCGUAGGUGGUUGAUCGCGUCGGAAGUGUAAUCUUGGGGCUUAACCCUGAGCGUGCUUUCGAUACGGGUUGACUUGAGGAAGGUAGGGGAGAAUGGAAUUCCUGGUGGAGCGGUGGAAUGCGCAGAUAUCAGGAGGAACACCAGUGGCGAAGGCGGUUCUCUGGGCCUUUCCUGACGCUGAGGAGCGAAAGCGUGGGGAGCGAACAGGCUUAGAUACCCUGGUAGUCCACGCUGUAAACGGUGGGUACUAGGUGUGGGGUCCAUUCCACGGGUUCCGUGCCGUAGCUAACGCUUUAAGUACCCCGCCUGGGGAGUACGG
rnacentral:rRNA from 1 species